AAAAUGAUGUCUGAUGCUGAUGCUGGAGAGUUUUGGGGUUUCUUCGGUGGCUUUGCUCCUCUUCCAAGAAAGACAGCUUUCGAUGAUGAUAGAAAUAUGGAGCCCUUACCUCCUAAGCUGCUUCGUGUUGACAAAGGGCAGCCAGUUUCAGUUGAAGCUGAUUCAUUGACAAGAGAGUUAUUGAACACAAAUAAAUGUUACCUACUAGACUGUGGAAUUGAAGUGUUUGUGUGGAUUGGUCGAAAUACAUCUCUUGAGGAGAGAAAAAGUGCAAGUGCUGCUGCAGAAGAAAUUCUCCGUGGCGCUGACCGACCAAAAGCUCAUGUUAUUCGUGUUAUAGAAGGCUUUGAAACUGUCAUGUUUCGAUUAAAAUUUGAUAUUUGGCCACAGACGACUGAAGUGACUGUAUCCGAGGAUGGUAGGGGCAAGGUUGCAGCACUUCUAAAACGCCAAGGGUUGAAUGUCAA
rnacentral:misc_RNA from 1 species